rnacentral:rRNA from 1 species
CUACAGGGGUAUCUAAUCCUGUUUGCUCCCCACGCUUUCGUGCAUGAGCGUCAGUGUUAUCCCAGGGGGCUGCCUUCGCCAUUGGUGUUCCUCCACAUAUCUACGCAUUUCACUGCUACACGUGGAAUUCCACCCCCCUCUGACACACUCUAGUCCUACAGUCACAAAUGCAAUUCCCAGGUUAAGCCCGGGGAUUUCACACCUGUCUUAUAGAACCGCCUGCGCACGCUUUACGCCCAGUAAUUCCGAUUAACGCUUGCACCCUACGUAUUACCGCGGCUGCUGGCAC